GGCGUGCCUAACACAUGCAAGUCGUACGAGGUUAUCGAGGUGCUUGCACCUCGGUGCCUAGUGGCGAACGGGUGCGUAACACGUGAGCAACCUGCCCUCCGGCGGGGGAUAGCCGGCCUAACGGCCGGGUAAUACCGCGUACGAUGCUCGGGUCGCAUGGCCUGGGCAUGAAAGCGGCCGCAAGGUCGCGCCGGUGGAGGGGCUCGCGGCCUAUCAGCUUGUUGGUGGGGUAACGGCCCACCAAGGCGACGACGGGUAGCUGGUCUGAGAGGAUGGCCAGCCACAUUGGGACUGAGAUACGGCCCAGACUCCUACGGGAGGCAGCAGUGGGGAAUAUUGCGCAAUGGCCGCAAGGCUGACGCAGCGACGCCGCGUGUGGGAUGAAGGCCCUCGGGUCGUAAACCACUGUCAGGGGGGGCGAAUACCCGGCUCCGCAAGGGGACCGGGGGUGACGGUACCCCCAGAGGAAGCACCGGCUAACUCCGUGCCAGCAGCCGCGGUAAUACGGAGGGUGCGAGCGUUGUCCGGAAUCACUGGGCGUAAAGCGCGCGUAGGCGGCUGCUUAAGUCACUUGUGAAAUCCCGGGGCUCAACUCCGGGGCUGCAGGUGAGACUGGGCAGCUAGAGCUCGGUAGAGGCGAGCGGAAUUCCCGGUGUAGCGGUGGAAUGCGUAGAUAUCGGGAAGAACACCAGUGGCGAAGGCGGCUCGCUGGGCCGAUGCUGACGCUGAGGUGCGAAAGCGUGGGGAGCAAACAGGAUUAGAUACCCUGGUAGUCCACGCCGUAAACGAUGGGCACUAGGCGCUGGGGGGAGCGACCCCUUCGGUGCCGCAGCUAACGCAAUAAGUGCCCCGCCUGGGGAGUACGGCCGC
rnacentral:rRNA from 1 species